rnacentral:rRNA from 1 species
UACGUAGGGCGCAAGCGUUAUCCGGAAUUACUGGGCGUAAAGAGCUCGUAGGCGGUUUGUCGCGUCUGCCGUGAAAGUCCGGGGCUCAACUCCGGAUCUGCGGUGGGUACGGGCAGACUAGAGUGAUGUAGGGGAGACUGGAAUUCCUGGUGUAGCGGUGGAAAUGCGCAGAUAUCAGGAGGAACACCGAUGGCGAAGGCAGGUCUCUGGGCAUUAACUGACGCUGAGGAGCGAAGCAUGGG